rnacentral:sRNA from 1 species
AUCUAUCAACAAGGAAGUGGUGCAGUAUUCUAGUCGAUCCACCCUCUCUGAAGGCGGGGCUAAAAAUCCGCUAAAGGGCACAUCGAUGAAGUUCUUGGUGUUGGCUUCCGACGCCCAGUCGGGGGUCGAUGCUGAGAGUUAAGGGGGACGGGCGAUCCACAAAGGCAUGUGGGCGUUGACCCGACCCCCGCGGAGGCCCAAGUGCGUCGCCGGAGCGUCACCGUGCGUAGGCGGCGGCUUGGGGUAUGAACCUGUUACUAGGUAGGGGGACCUGGUGCAGCGUAGCCUGCCUUGAGUGGUGUUGUGGGGAUACGAUUUUUCGUUGAAAGCAACACUGCAAAAGAGGCUAGGAGAGGUGCUCGGAUUGUUGAGGAAAACUCCUAGACUGUUUGCUGUGACAGGCAAGGCGGGCCGGGGAUUGAAGUGCGGACUGAGUGGCAAUCCAGUCCGGCGGCUGGUGACACCGCCGAAAAGGUAGUAAAGGGAAACCGCCGCAUUGGCAACGGUGCGGAUACCUUUUGGGAAAACCUACUGGACCUAAGCCGCAGGAUUUAUCCGGUCCGUUUCCACUUCCACUCGCCAUGAU